rnacentral:rRNA from 1 species
ACGGAGGGUCCAAGCGUUAUCCGGAAUCACUGGGUUUAAAGGGUGCGUAGGCGGGUUUCUAAGUCUAAGGUGAAAGUCUGUCGCUUAACGAUAGAAUUGCCUUGGAUACUGGAGACCUUGAAUUGGGUUGAGGAUGGCGGAAUGUGGCAUGUAGCGGUGAAAUGCAUAGAUAUGCCAUAGAACACCGAUUGCGAAGGCAGCCAUCUGGGCCUUGAUUGACGCUGAGGCACGAAAGCGUGGGGAGCGAACAGG